AUGCAUGUGUUCUUCCCUGACCCUCCACCAUCUCUUCCUCCUCACGCUCGCUCCUUCCCUGCCGCGGACUCCAUGGGGAGCGCAAGCAAGCUCCGCCUCUGGUGCUCGGCGUUCGCCUGCGCGCUGGCGUUCCUCGGGGCGCACGGGGACGACGACCAUCUCGUCGACAUUACCUACGUCGAGAGCGCCGUGGCCAAGGGAGCAGUGUGCCUGGACGGGAGCCCCCCGGCGUACCAUCUCGCCCCGGGCUCCGGCUCCGGGGUGAACAGCUGGUUGGUUCAUUUCGAGGGAGGGGCGUGGUGCAACAACGCGGCGACAUGCCUGCAGCGGUCGCGCACCCCGUUGGGGUCGUCCAAGGAGAUGGCCAGGCGGGUUGCUUUCACCGGGAUCCUGAGCAACGCGUCGGAUUACAACCCUGACUUCUACAACUGGAAUAGGGUCAAGGUUCGGUACUGCGACGGCUCGUCUUUCACCGGCGACAAGGAAGAAGUUGAUCCUAGUACACAGCUACACUACAGAGGUGCGAGGGUGUGGCAAGCAGUUGUAGAAGAUCUGCUCGCCAAAGGAAUGAACACAGCUGAACAUGCUCUGAUUUCAGGAUGUUCUGCUGGUGGGCUAACUUCGAUACUGCACUGCGACAGAUUUCAUCAGCUCCUGCCAGUGGAUGCCAAUGUUAAAUGCCUUUCAGAUGCCGGUUUCUUCAUCAACGUGAAGGACAUUACCGGAGCCAACCACGUUGAGGCAUUUUUCAGUGAUGUGGGUACAACACAUGGCUCGGCAAAGAAUUUACCAUCUUCGUGCACUUCCAAGUUGCCUGCAGGCGUGUGCUUUUUUCCUCAGAACGAGGUGCAGCAGAUCCAGACGCCCCUGUUCAUCCUAAAUGCAGCAUACGACUCAUGGCAGGUACGGCACAUCCUGGUGCCCGAGGGCUCCGAUCCCGAAUGGCGAAGUUGCAGGGACGACAUAACCCAGUGCUCCGCGAAGCAGCUCGAGACGCUGCAGGGGUUCAGGGACGAUUUCCUGGCGGCGCUGGGGGCGAGCGCGUCCAGCGGAUCCAGAGGGCUGUUCGUCAACUCGUGCUUCGCGCACUGCCAGUCCGAGACGCAGGACAUCUGGUUCGCGCCCGCUUCCCCGGCGCUCGGAGACAGAAGAAUAGCGGACGCGGUUGGGGACUGGUUCUACGGCCGCAGCGGGUUCCAGAAGACGGACUGCCCCUACCCUUGUGACUCCACCUGCUACACUAAUUGAUGCACCACCACCACUAGUGUGCCUCGUCCGUCCGUGCUCGCAACAAACCAUUGGUUUUGGACUUUUGGUUCUAUUUAUACACUAGUAAGCUUGCACGUGCAACACACGUCUCGAAUGUUGACCAAAUAAGAUUCACACAUAUAUGCAAUUAAAAAAUAGCUUGCAAAAUCUUGCAUUAUGGGUCGGAGAGAGUAUGAGUUCAAUGGAUACACUAUAUUGUGAUGUCACUCAAGUUGUUUUUUUCAAAAGUGGGACAUCAUUGCGGUCCUCUUUCUGCAUAGAGACAAUAAUAUAUUUAAUCUAUUGAAUAUUCUAUAUGUUGAAAGAGAAUAAGAAAUCUAGUUAUGAUUGAAAAAAGCCUUGCAUUAUGCUUAGUACAUGGAGACAUAAUCCUACAUUUGGUCUUGAAUAUUAUGGUGUAAGCAAUUCAUAACUAAAAUUUGAGGAAAAGAAUAAGGGAUAGUAGAUCAACACAUACUUCUUAGAUGAGGUUGCUAACCAAAUGCUUAUGUAAAGUUGCAAAUGGCAUAGGCAUUGAUAGUGUAUUAUGAAAAUCCUGACACUCCAUCACAUGUUGCAAAUACUCAAAACACACCCGAAUGAGCACUAAAAUGGAAAGCAGAUAUCUCACAUAAAAAUAUCAACGGCAUUGAACCAAUAUUGUGAAGUACAAUCCUCUUAACACCAAAAGAUCAAAGGGACUUUUUUCACAAUCAAAGGAGCUCAGCUCUCUUCCUCAUGAUUACUGUCAGUUUGCAUCAAAAAGCAAGUUGAUCCGGAGCAGCAUUAUGCCACAGUCUCCGGUCACUAACCUGCAGGGGCAGCUUUGCACACAAAAAUCAGCCUCUAAGAAUAGAAGACACCGUAAGGGACAAAAGGCUUGGCUCGGCUCCUCAAUUUCACACAGGAGGCCCAUAAUGUCGUACGUACCACAUCCUGGAGAGAAGUGUUUCAGCAACCAGAGAGUUUGGAAUAUUUGCAUACCUCUGAGACGCUGCUAUAAUGAACUCACCUCUAGUACGUCUUACAAUUAACUCCAUGGUCGCAUGAGCAUUGGCACAUGAGAAUGCCACGUAAACGUUAACUUUGAUACGAUGUGGGUUGUUGGACCUGGAGUGCCUGUAGCAUCUCCAACAAUUACAGUUUGGCAUGUCACUAUGAAAUAGAGAGUAGUUUUUCUACACCCAGGCUCGGUGCACCCACGCAAGAAAACGUACCAAAACAUUUCAAAAAAUUCUGAAACUUUGUGUGAAUGAUUAUCAACAAAUGUUAUGGGCGGUUGCAAAAUUUGGUGCUCAAAUAACAUUGAAGGAGCUCUCUACAAAAAAAACAAAUUCACUGAAAAUUAGUCAAAAUGUAAGUGCACUAUUUGAGCAGAUUUUGUAAUUUUAUCAUUUUUGGAGAGAGCUCCUCCGUCCGAAAAUACUUGUCCUAGAAUUGAUAAAAAUGGAUGUAUCUAAAACUAAAAUAGUUCUAGAUACAUCCAUUUCUCCAACAAGUAUUCUGGAUGGAGGGAGUACAAACAAAGAGAGGCAAGUUAGGUUGCCGUGCUUGUUGUUGUACGGAUGUUAAGGAGGAUGAAGGCAGCAACAACAUCUUGGUUCUUUAUUUUUAGCUUCAGAGAUAAGAUACCUUGUGCAACGCAAAAGUGUUUUUUUGUUAGUCCUAGAGCAUCGUCGACGCUGUGUACUGCAAAUAAAAACACAUCGAAGGUUCUAAAAUGACCCAAAGAAUCAAAGGAUGUGAAAAUUGGGAUUCAUGCAUACAUAUGUCAAGUUGACAAGCUAAAACCAGUCACUUGGAUCACAAAUACUGUUCACUCACCUUGAACCUAAAAUAAAGAACCAAGAUGUUGUUAUGAUCCAUGAAACAUGCACAUCAUACUUCAUUAUUUUUGAAAUCUGCCAUUUGUAUAGAACAUCGGAGCUUAGACGUAAAACUUU
rnacentral:rRNA from 1 species